UUGCAAUGGCAAUGAACCACAGACCACACGUUUGCAAUGUAUGUGGAGCCUCUUAUACUCACUCAUCAAAUCUAGCGAAUCACAAAAAAGCACAUACGGGUGAUACAUUCUGCAAUUUGUGUCUUAGAGUUUUUGCGACCGUCCAGUCGUAUCAGAGACAUAUGAUGCGGCACAAGACAUAGUCACCAUCAUGGAUGCCUCAUUAUUUUGGUGGCACUUUCCAGAGAAACUUUACCACCUAGAAACACUUUACCUCGCAAACUCUAGCCAACAAUGCAAAAGAGAAGCCAUGGGUAUGCGAAACUUGUGGUGCACGCUACAGACAUCGCACUAAUUUAGCCAACCAUAGGAAAGUUCACACAGGCGAAACAUACUGCGAAGAGUGCCAAAAAACAUUCGCAACGAAGCAAUCUCUGCAAAACCACAAACUCCUGACUCACAAGCAACCUUAUUGGUCCUGAUAGUGACUUUGACUUUCUGUUGUUUUUCUUACCCUGUUCUCAUAGUAGACUUUGUGAAACUUUGACUUUAUUUACUUAAAAUUACGUUAUUUUGUACUUCCGAAUGCACCUACAGUCUUUGUAUUCGGUUAAAAUCAAGUAAAAUUCUGUUGACCCUUGUUUGAAAACUUAA